rnacentral:rRNA from 1 species
UACAUGUGGGGCAAGCGUUGUUCGGAAUGAUUGGGCGUAAAGCGUCCGCAGGUGGCUGUGUAAGUCUGCUGUUAAAUAGUGAGGCUCAACCUCAUAAAGGCAGUGGAAACUACACGGCUAGAGUGCGUUCGGGGCAGAGGGAAUUCCUGGUGUAGCGGUGAAAUGCGUAGAGAUCAGGAAGAACACCGGUGGCGAAAGCGCUCUGCUAGGCCGCAACUGACACUGAGGGACGAAAGCUAGGGGAGCGAAUGGG